rfam:Sphaeroforma arctica JP610 cont1.11637, whole genome shotgun sequence.
UCCCCUGUGGCCCAGUGGUAAGGCGUUCGCCUUCGAAGCGAAAGAUCUCGAGUUCGAUCCUCGACAGGGGCU